GUGCUAAAAAUUAUGAGUAGAAUCAACAACAAAAUCUGAGUUCUAGACUGCACUUUCAUGCUAGUUUAAGAUGAUCCAUAGUUACAUAUUAGCAUCAUUAGAUGGCAGCCAAAUCCAAAAUAAGCUUGAUUAGAUAGUUUUAAUAAGAUAGAGGUUUCGAUAGCACUAUUGACCUGGUCCCUUUACAAGGACCGGGCAUCCAACUACAGGAACAAAUUGAAGCCAAGAAAGAAAUGAAUACAACCUUGUUGGACAAAAAGUUCCAAUCACCAGAAGUCCACAUUACAUGUAGAAAGCAGCACAGCACUUGGUAGAUCCAUGGAAAGAAUUGAGAGCCUGCAGGAAGAGAUAAUGAAGAAUACUCAGUCGGGUUUGAUGAUUGGAGGAAGGAAAAAGGUUGAAAAGGAACACUGCACAAUCUACUUUCACUGAUCAUUGUAAUUAAAAGCAACAUGCAUCAAUAAAUCUGAAAAGCUGACUCCAUCCUGAUAUGACAUCUAACACAAGGAUAAGGGUAGACUACAUUAUCUUAGCAAGUAUAGUCUUUUUAUCUUUAUUUUUAUUUUUUCUAGUUGCAGUAUUUUUUAAGUAGGAAAAUUUUAUUUUUUUAUUUUUUAUUUUUUUAGAAAAGGAUAAGUGACAAAGACGAGAUUCGUCGGACAAGUUAAAACCUUAAAUUUGUUGGAUGAGGUUUUCUCAAUAUUUGAAAAGUUAAUCUUGUAACCAAAACUAGUAUGUUAAUAUAAAAAAAUUAUUUUAAGAGGUUUUCAAUUCUUAAUGAAUUAAUUUUGGAGCUGAAAUAUUCUGAUGUGUUCACUGUAGCUUUGGGAGAGAGGUGAAAAUAAAAAUAACUAUUUCAACUAUAAUUUAAAACUUUGGAAUAAGAAUUGACUGAAACAGUGAGCCUCUUUUACAGGAUAGUCAAGUAAAGUUAAGUGUCCAAUGAACUAAAAUUAUAUAUUACUGCAUGUUAAUGUAGCAGCUCCUGCUCUAGCAUUACAAUUGGAGCUAAUAAUAUCCAACUUUCUCAUCUCACUAGCAUUAGAAGUAGCCUCAAGCUAAAUUAAUCUAGUUUAGUUUUAUGAUAAUGCAGAAAGAAAAGCUUUUUUAGUUUGAGGGCUGCAAGCAUUCUAAUAUAAGAAUUGAUUCAUAGGAGGAUCACAAAUUUUGCCAAGACCUGAUAUAAGAUAUAUUGGAUAGUAGAUUUAAUGACAAGUGUAGAAAGUGGCCAAUCAAAUGUGAGCCUUAGCUGUGGCUGUCAACUCUCUGCAAGGAAACUAAUCAAUCUUGGUUGUUCCAGAACAAUAUUGAUAUAUAACAUUACAUAUAUAUUCUUGAUGUGGUGUUGAAUGAUUAAAUGGUCCACCAAGUGGAUCAUGGAGUGUUCCCUUGAGAAGGAGAUUGUCAGAUGGAUGACAUCACAGUGCAUAUAUCAUGUUUCCAACAACAUGACAACUCCUACCUAAAUCUACUGAAGAACAGCACACUCCAUAGCAAAAAGAAUGACCCACUAAGAACCCUUGUGUUGACUCUCUCUCUCUCUCUCUCUCUCUCUCAAUUUAUAAUCUUAUUCCAUAUGGAAUAAACUCAGGUAUGACAGAUGUAUUUGAAUGUAUAACCUCCAUGAAUUCAGCAUGGCUACAUGUUUUGCAUAUCUGUAUCUGAUUACUGACAUGCUACUAAAAUGAGAACAAUGAUGACAUGAAUACAGAAACUGGCAGCUUCAGGAAUAGUAUUUGGCUGCUGUAAUUUAGAGCACAUUGUUGUAGCUCCUCAAUAAUGCAUAUUGAUGUGUACAUAAGAUGUAGAAAGAGAUUCCGAUUGCUAUUUUCUAAAAUAAAAAAUAAAUUAAAAGAAAAGAAAAUUAAAAGGCAUCACUGGAAUCUACCAGCCUUUCUUUUUCGGAGCUUCUACUUGCUUGGAAUUCUGGAAGUGGCCUCUCUUUUAUAUGUUCACUGCUUCCACUAUCCAUCCUUAGUCCUACGAAGAGAUAGAGCAUUCCAACAACAACCCUUUCUUCCCCUG
rnacentral:lncRNA from 1 species